UACGGAGGGUGCUAGCGUUGUUCGGAAUCACUGGGCGUAAAGUGCGCGUAGGCGGCUCGGCACGUCCGUUGUGAAAUCGCCCGGCUCAACUGGGCGGGGUCGGCGGAUACGGCCGAGCUGGAGCAAGCUAGGGGGCAAUGGAAUUCCCGGUGUAGUGGUGGAAUGCGUAGAUAUCGGGAGGAACACCAGUGGCGAAGGCGGUUGCCUGGAGCUUUGCUGACGCUGAUGCGCGAAAGCGUGGGGAGCGAUCCGG
rnacentral:rRNA from 1 species